rnacentral:lncRNA from 1 species
ACCCACGCUUCCUGCACAUCUGCCCGGGUGGCGGGGGUCACUCCGUGCGGGCAUUCCGGCUUUUGUCAGCAUCUGGAUAAUGACGUG